CUGGAAAAAGGUUUCUCAGACAACUGAUGAUGAUCAGAUGGUGUUCCUGUAUGAUAAUGGUGAUCUUUACAGUGAUGAGCGUCCAGGUCAGAGUGAGCAGUUCAAAGGUCGAGUCUCACAUUUUCCAGAUAAACUGAAACAAGGCAACGCCUCCAUAAUCAUCAGAAAUACAACGAGGGCUGACAGUGGAGAAUACAGAUGUAUUUAUCUAGAUCUUCAGAAUGCUCAAACAUUCCACAUUAAGCUUGAUGUUGUUGCUUCAAGUCGGAAAAAGAAACAUCGUUCAUUAAUUAUCUAAUGAAGCUUUGAUAAUGUCUAUGUUGCUGGAAACAUUUAUUUUGUCUUCAGUUAUUUUACGCUUGUAUUAUAUCACAAUGUAUAGGCUCAUUGAUUUUGUCUUGCAGUUCUAGUUGAUUGUGUAACUGUGUGUAAGACUUGUACAGUAUUCCUGUUCCAGAGGUGUGUAGAGCAGAGAGGACCAGAUCAACAUGAUGAUGCUCUUAUAAGUCUUGUAUUUUUGUAUUCAGACCAAAUUACAAAGUUUGCUGUGAUGAUGUGAAAUGUGAAAUAUUGUG